GACGAACGCUUGCGGCGUGCCUAAGAAAUGCAAGUCGAGCGAGGUUUAGUCUUCGGACGAAGACCUAGCGGCGAACGGUCGCGUAACACGUAAGCAACCUGCCCUAAAGUGGGGGAUAGCCCUCCGAAAGGAGGAUUAAUACCGCAUGUGGACACCGGAUCGCAUGGUUUGGUGUCUAAAGCAGCAAUGCGCUUUAGGAUGGGCUUGCGGCCUAUCAGCUAGUUGGUGAGGUAACGGCCCACCAAGGCGACGACGGGUAGCUGGUCUGAGAGGAUGGUCAGCCGGACUGGGACUGAGAUACGGCCCAGACUCCUACGGGGGGCAGCAAUUAGGAAUCUUGCGCAAUGGGCGAAAGCCUGACGCAGCGACGCCGCGUGACUGAUGAAGUCUCUCGGGAUGUAAAGGUCUUUUUUGGGGGAAGAAGGAUGUGACGGUACCCCAAGAAUAAGCCCCGGCUAACUACGUGCCAGCCGCCGCGGUAAUAC
rnacentral:rRNA from 1 species